ACGGGUGCUGGGAAUUAGGGUUCGAUUCUGGAGAAGGAGCCUGAGAACGGCUACUACAUCUACGGAAUGCAGCAUGCGCGUAAUUACCCAAUCCUGACUCAGGGAGGUGGUGACAAGAUAUAACAACGCAUCUUCAUUGUGAUUGUAGUGAGGGUAUUCCAAACCGAACCACUAGUACGAUUAGAGGGCAAGUCUGGUGCCAGCAGCCGCGGUAAUUCCAGCUCUAAUAGCGUAUAUUAAAGUUGCUGCAGUUAAAAGCUCGUAGUUGGAUUUCAAGGAUUGUGUUCUCUUUUAUAGUAUGCACCCUACUAGUCUUUGACUUGUUACUGUGAGAAAAUUAGAGUGUUUAAAGCAGGCUAUUGCAGAAUACAUUAGCAUGAAUAACGAAUGUAUCUAGAACUUGAUAACAGGCGCGAGAGAGAGACAGCGGGGCAUUAGUAUUAAUUGUCAGACGUGAUACUCUUGUAUUUGUUAAGACUACGUAUGCGAAGCAUUUGCCACGACGUCUCCCAUCAUCAGACGAAGAUAGGGAUCAAACAUCAGAUACUGUUGUAUCCUAUCUAUAACUAUGCCGACUAGGGAUGAUGAGAUUACCAUUCAGUACCUUAUGAGAAUCAAGUCUUGGGUCCUGGGGGAUCUUGUCGCAGCUGAACUAAGAACUGACGAGACCACAGAGGACCUGCGCUAUUGACCAACGGGACUACAGUCGACAUAAAGAUGACAAUUGUAGCCUCCUGAUCUGGUGGGCUGGC
rnacentral:rRNA from 1 species